GGUGAACGCUGGCGGCGUGCCUAAUACAUGCAAGUCGAGCGAACAGACGAGGAGCUUGCUCCUCUGACGUUAGCGGCGGACGGGUGAGUAACACGUGGAUAACCUACCUAUAAGACUGGGAUAACUUCGGGAAACCGGAGCUAAUACCGGAUAAUAUAUUGAACCGCAUGGUUCAAUAGUGAAAGACGGUUUUGCUGUCACUUAUAGAUGGAUCCGCGCCGCAUUAGCUAGUUGGUAAGGUAACGGCUUACCAAGGCGACGAUGCGUAGCCGACCUGAGAGGGUGAUCGGCCACACUGGAACUGAGACACGGUCCAGACUCCUACGGGAGGCAGCAGUAGGGAAUCUUCCGCAAUGGGCGAAAGCCUGACGGAGCAACGCCGCGUGAGUGAUGAAGGUCUUCGGAUCGUAAAACUCUGUUAUUAGGGAAGAACAAAUGUGUAAGUAACUAUGCACGUCUUGACGGUACCUAAUCAGAAAGCCACGGCUAACUACGUG
rnacentral:rRNA from 1 species